rfam:Apaloderma vittatum contig2356, whole genome shotgun sequence.
UAGCUCAGUCAGUUAGAGCGUGGUGCUGAUAACACCAAGGCAGUGGGUUCAAUCCCCGU